AAUGAACGUUGGCGGCGUGGAUUAGGCAUGCAAGUCGUGCGAGAAACCUCCUUCGGGGGGCGGACAGCGGCGUAAGGGAGAGUAACGCGUGGAUACCUACCCCGGGAUCCGGGAUAGCCGCGGGAAACUGCGGGUAAUACCGGAUAACGUCUCCGGACCAAAGGUGCGAUUCCGUCUUGGGAUGGGUCCGCGUCCUAUUAGCUUGUUGGUGGGGUAAUGGCCUACCAAGGCGACGAUGGGUACCGGGCGUGAGAGCGUGGCCCGGCUCACUGGGACUGAGACACUGCCCAGACACCUACGGGUGGCUGCAGUCGAGAAUCUUCGGCAAUGGACGCAAGUCUGACCGAGCGACGCCGCGUGCGGGAUGAAGGCCUUCGGGUUGUAAACCGCUGUCAGAGGGGAUGAAAUGCUAUGGGGUUCUCUCCAUAGUUUGACAAAUCCUCAGAGGAAGUACGGGCUAAGUUCGUG
rnacentral:rRNA from 1 species